AGAACGAACGCUGGCGGCAUGCCUAAUACAUGCAAGUCGAACGAACUCUUCGGAGUUAGUGGCGCACGGGUGCGUAACGCGUGGGAAUCUGCCCCUUGGUUCGGAAUAACAGUUGAACGACUGCUAAUACCGGAUGAUGACGAAAGUCCAAAGAUUUAUCGCCAAGGGAUGAGCCCGCGUAGGAUUAGCUAGUUGGUGAGGUAAAGGCUCACCAAGGCAACGAUCCUUAGCUGGUCUGAGAGGAUGAUCAGCCACACUGGGACUGAGACACGGCCCAGACUCCGACGGGAGCAG
rnacentral:rRNA from 1 species